GACGAACGCUGGCGGCGUGGAUUAGGCAUGCAAGUCGAACGGUAUCAUCCUUUCGGGGGUGAGAGAGUGGCGAACUGGUGAGUAACACGUAGGUUAUCUACCCUCAAGACGGGGACAACCCAGGGAAACUUGGGCUAAUACCGGAUGUGAGCAACUUUUAGUUGUUUGAAAGGUGGCGUAAGCUAUCGCUUAUGGAUGGGCCCGCGUCUGAUUAGCUAGUUGGUGGGGUAACAGCCUACCAAGGCAACGAUCAGUAGCCGGCCUUAGAGGGUGGACGGCCACACUGGGACUGAGACACGGCCCAGACUCCUACGGGAGGCAGCAGUGGGGAAUAUUGCGCAAUGGGGGAAACCCUGACGCAGCGACGCCGCGUGAGCGAAGAAGGCCUUAGGGUUGUAAAGCUCUGUUCUAUGGGACGAAGUCCUUGACUGUGAAUAAUGGUCAAGGUUGACGGUACCAUAGGAGGAAGCCCCGGUAACUACGUG
rnacentral:rRNA from 1 species